AGCUUUGCGCAGUGGCAGUAUCGUAGCCAAUGAGGUUUAUCCGAGGCGCGAUUAUUGCUAAUUGAAAAGAUAGCCAAGAGUAUUAUCCCCAUUUUAAAUACAAGUAAACGGAAAUUCAGAGAGACUAGGUAACUAG